UACGUAGGGUGCAAGCGUUGUCCGGAAUUAUUGGGCGUAAAGGGCUCGUAGGCGGUCCGUCACGUCGGCUGUGAAAAUCCGGGGCUCAACCCCGGACUUGCAGUGGGUACGGGCAGACUAGAGUGUGGUAGGGGAGACUGGAAUUCCUGGUGUAGCGGUGAAAUGCGCAGAUAUCAGGAGGAACACCGAUGGCGAAGGCAGGUCUCUGGGCCACUACUGACGCUGAGAAGCGAAAGCAUGGGGAGCGAACAGG
rnacentral:rRNA from 1 species